rnacentral:rRNA from 1 species
AACGAACGCUGGCGGCAUGCCUAACACAUGCAAGUCGAACGAGAUCUUCGGGUCUAGUGGCGCACGGGUGCGUAACGCGUGGGAAUCUGCCCUUUGGUUCGGAAUAACAGUUGGAAACGACUGCUAAUACCGGAUGAUGACGAAAGUCCAAAGAUUUAUCGCCAGAGGAUGAGCCCGCGUAGGAUUAGCUAGUUGGUGUGGUACAGGCGCACCAAGGCGACGAUCCUUAGCUGGUCUGAGAGGAUGAUCAGCCACACUGGGACUGAGACACGGCCCAGACUCGUACGGGAGGCAGCAGUGGGGAAUAUUGGACAAUGGGCGAAAGCCUGAUCCAGCAAUGCCGCGUGAGUGAUGAAGGCCUUAGGGUUGUAAAGCUCUUUUACCCGGGAUGAUAAUGACAGUACCGGGAGAAUAAGCUCCGGCUAACUCCGUGCCAGCCGCCGCGGUAA